rnacentral:rRNA from 1 species
AGGGCACCACCAGGAGUGGAGCCUGCGGCUUAAUUUGACUCAACACGGGAAAACUCACCCGGCCCGGACACUGGAAGGAUUGACAGAUUGAGAGCUCUUUCUUGAUUCAGUGGGUGGUGGUGCAUGGCCGUUCUUAGUUGGUGGAGUGAUUUGUCUGGUUAAUUCCGAUAACGAACGAGACUCUAGCCUACUAAAUAGAUCGUCGGCUUACAAACGCCGGCGAGACUUCUUAGAGGGACAGGCGGUGAUUCAACCGCACGAAACAGAGCAAUAACAGGUCUGUGAUGCCCUUAGAUGUCCGGGGCCGCACGCGCGCUACACUGAAGUGAUCAGCGUGCUUUUUCAACCUACUCUGUCAAGAGUGGGGAACCCAAUGAACCUCCUUCGUGAUUGGGAUAGGGGAUUGUAAUUAUUCCCCUUGAACGAGGAAUUCCCAGUAAGCGCGAGUCAUAAGCUCGCGUUGAUUACGUCCCUGCCCUUUGUACACAUCGCCCGUCGCUACUACCGAUUGAAUGUUUU